CAAUGAACGUAAAUAAUAGAGCCGAACUAUAACUUAUCUUGAUACCGAAUCUACAACUUUGGUGUUUGUUUAAAUGUAGGCUCUCCUCUUUCAAAUAAAUCUAGUUAUAUUUCUAGUGUAACCCUUAUUUUAGUGCAGAAGAAACAGAUGUCUGACCAUCUUACAUUCAAGCCCCCUUUGGACUUACUCUAAUAUGUAUGGCCUUAAUUGAUUAUCAAGUUUGUAUAUGACAUAGAUCCUGAGAAGCGCAAACAGCUAAACUGGAGACAAAGGAACAAGAUCAUUGGCGGGAUUGCUCGAGGCCUAUUGUACCUACAUGAAGAAUCUCAAUUAAAAAUUAUACAUCGGGAUUUAAAAGCCAGCAAUAUCUUAUUAGAUGCAGAUUUGAACCCAAAGAUUUCAGACUUUGGGUUGGCUAGGCUUUUUGGUGGGGACCAAACUCAGGGCAUCACGAGCCGGGUUGUUGGAACAUUUGGGUAUAUGGCACCGGAGUAUGCCAUGCAUGGGCAGUUUUCUGUCAAGUCAGAUGUAUACAGUUUUGGUGUUCUAGUUUUAGAGAUCGUGACAGGCAGAAAGAACAGUGAUUUCUCUAGUUCUGAAUAUGCUGAAGACACAGUGAACCAUGUCUGGGAGCGGUGGGUCAAAGGAACAAUUUUCGAGAUAUUGGACCCACCUUUAGGCACACAUUGCCCAAGGAGUGAAAUGUUAAGAUGUGUUCACAUUGGCCUAUUGUGUGUCCAGGAAAAUCCAUCUGAUAGACCCAACAUGUUACAAGUUGUUGUGAUGCUCAACAGUAACUCUGUCUCUCUCCAGGCUCCUUCUAGACCAGCAUUUUGCAAUGGACAGAGUGGCAUGGAUUCAGGUGAUUAUUCAAAUGAACAUGAUUUAUCUGGAGGUACGCAUGACCAAUCUUCAAGCAAGUCAAUACCAAUGUCAGCAAAUGAGGUGUCAAUUACAGAACUUGAACCUAGAUAGAAGUAUGAAGGUUUGAUAAAUUCAUCAAGUAAAGCUUAAAGAGCUGGGACAAAAAAAGAUGAAUAAGAUUAGAAACGAAAGAUCAUCCAGACUUGAAGGUCUAUACUAGCGAGCUUGGAAAUUUUGCAGCCGAAUCAUAAUUUAUAGGAUGAUUAUGGACAUAAAAUAAACGAUUGAUGAAUUUUGAAAUAUGAAUUUGAUAUUUAAUUUUAGAUUUAGAUACUCUGAACCAAUUUUGAUUUAAUUAUUUCAUGAAUAAUGAAAUUAAAUCUUUUAUUAUAUUUUAUUUAUGAAGAAUUUUAGUCGAUUAUAAUUGAUAGAUUUUGAGUUAUUGAGGAUGGUACCUCUUGAUAGCAUGGCCGUAUUAUGUCCCGGAUUUGGGACGUGACAAUUAUAGUCUUUCUUCGAAACUAUAAAGCUUUUUUGUUGUGGAUAUAGCACCUGAAUUUUUUAUCAGAAACACUGGAAAUCUAGUGUGUCUGGCUCAUAUCUACCCAUUCUCUUAUAAGACAAAAUCUAUUACUUGAUUUCCUUUAUUAAGAUGUUCACUUAUCUUUCAGAAUUUAGACAAAGUCCAAGAAAAUGAUAUACAGAGAAGGGGCCAUAAACCUAACCUCAAGUAAAAUUGCCAAAGAAUGGUAGUGGAUACACGAUUGUAUCUUUGCUCCAAUUAGGUUGGGCAAUUAAAGUAUGAACUACACCAACCUAAGAGCCGAGGAAAGGGACCAGAGAAAAAUGUCUUUUGUCCAGAUAAUAGUUGUAUUAUACUUAUAUCUAGGCAUGAUAAGAGGACUUGAAGAAAUUCUGAUCACUCUGUUUUAGGAGAAUUAACGAUCACUAAUAAAUAGUAUUUUGCUACCCUGUUGGUCCCAAAAAAUAAAGGUACCAAGAUAAAGUAUAAAACCACACAAUAAACAUCCUAAAAUUUAGUAAAUUUAAGAAACUGUAGUCUAAUGGGAAACAUUAUAAAUAUCAUAAGCAACUCAGUCAUAUCAGCCUAGUCAACAAUCAAGUUAUGCAGUCAGAUGAGUAGAGUUUGGAAGGUGUAAUAGAAAACAAGCACAUCAUUUUCGCAAAGUUUAAGAUUUUGUUCAGUAUUCGGAUGAGUCCAUGAUGAGAGGCUUAUCCUUCGACACCAUAACACUGGGUAUGACAUGCUUUGAACCUUAGUUGCCAAAACUGGUAGCAGGUGCAGCUGUGGAUACAAGGAAAUAAAUUUUAAAGAAUGUUAAGGAAAUUCUUAGGAAGUGAGUAUCCAUUCUAGUUUCGGGGGAAUUUCUGAAGCAGGGAAGUAACCCUCAAUAGAAAUUUCCCAUGACCAAGACUUAGUAUAUGAUUACUUCACUCAACCUCCUCAAACAAGUGCAUGGAGCACUUUUGCAGCAAUCUAAAGCUGCCGGCUACAUGUAGAAGUGAAUUCACCGGUUUCUUCCUAAUUUGAAUGGCCAUACUUGCAACCAUGUGCAUAUGAAAUCAGGUAUGAUGAUCGUUGCCUGUACUACAUGAUCAAAUUUUCUUACAAAGAUUGGAUGAUUCCAUAAAUGUUCCCAUGUGGGCUGUAGUCGAGCAACAUGAUUGGAUCAGGAACUGGGAAAGAUAAUAAUUGUGAUUUCUUAAUAGCCAGUUUUCA